CCUACGGGAGGCAGCAGUGGGGGAUAUUGCACAAUGGGGGGAACCCUGAUGCAGCGACGCCGCGUGGGUGAAGGAGUAUUUCGGUAUGUAAAGCCCUAUCGGCAGGGAAGAAGCAAGACGGUACCUGACUAAGAAGCCCCGGCUAACUACGUGCCAGCAGCCGCGGUAAUACGUAGGGGGCGAGCGUUAUCCGGAUUCACUGGGGGUAAAGGGAGCGUAGACGGCCAUGCAAGCCAGGGGUGAAAGCCCGGGGCCCAACCCCGGGACUGCCCUUGGAACUGCAUGGCUGGAGUGCGGGAGGGGCAGGCGGAAUUCCUGGUGUAGCGGUGAAAUGCGUAGAUAUCAGGAGGAACACCAGUGGCGAAGGCGGCUUACUGGACUGUAACUGACGUUGAGGCUCGAAAGCGUGGGGAGCAAACAGGAUUAGAUACCCGGGUAGUC
rnacentral:rRNA from 1 species